AAAUUUGAAAUCUGGCUCCCUCGGUGCCCGAGUUGUAAUUUGUAGAGGGUGCUUCGGCGUCGGCCCGGGCUAAGUUCCUUGGAACAGGACGUCACAGAGGGUGAGAAUCCCGUACGUGGCCCCCGGCCUUCACCAAGUGAGGCCCCUUCGACGAGUCGAGUUGUUUGGGAAUGCAGCUCUAAAUGGGAGGUAAAUUUCUUCUAAAGCUAAAUACCGGCCAGAGACCGAUAGCGCACAAGUAGAGUGAUCGAAAGAUGAAAAGCACUUUGGAAAGAGAGUCAAAAAGCACGUGAAAUUGUUGAAAGGGAAGCGCUUGCAGCCAGACUUGCCCGCAGUUGCUCACCCAGGCUUACGCCUGGUGCACUCUUCUGCGGGCAGGCCAGCAUCGGUUCGGGCGGUCGGAUAAAGGCCCCGGGAAUGUGGCCCCUCUCGGGGGGUGUUAUAGCCCGGGGUGCAAUGCGGCCAGCCCGGACCGAGGACCGCGCUCCGGCUAGGAUGCUGGCGUAAUGGCCGCAAGCGGCCCGUCUUGAAACACGGACCAAGGAGUCUAACAUCUAUGCGAGUGUUUGGGUGUCAAGCCCGGGCGCGCAAUGAAAGUGAACGGAGGUGGGAACCCCUCGGGGCGCACCAUCGACCGAUCCUGAUGUCUUCGGAAGGAUUUGAGUAAGAGCAUAGCUGUUGGGACCCGAAAGAUGGUGAACUAUGCCUGAAUAGGGUGAAGCCAGAGGAAACUCUGGUGGAGGCUCGCAGCGGUUCUGACGUGCAAAUCGAUCGUCAAAUUUGGGCAUAGGGGCGAAAGACUAAUCG
rnacentral:rRNA from 1 species